UAACGGCGAGUGAAGCGGCAAUAGCUCAAAUUUGAAAGCUGGCCUUCUGGUCCGCAUUGUAAUUUGUAGAGGAUGCUUUUAGGCAGCCGCCGGUCUAAGUUCCUUGGAACAGGACGUCAUAGAGGGUGAGAAUCCCGUAUGUGACCGGCUCAGGCACCUUCUGUAAAGCUCCUUCGACGAGUCGAGUUGUUUGGGAAUGCAGCUCUAAAUGGGAGGUAAAUUUCUUCUAAAGCUAAAUACUGGCGAGAGACCGAUAGCGCACAAGUAGAGUGAUCGAAAGAUGAAAAGCACUUUGGAAAGAGAGUUAAAAAGCACGUGAAAUUGUUGAAAGGGAAGCGCUUGCAAUCAGACUUGGCCUAGAGUGUUCAACCGGUCUUCUGACCGGCCUAUUCAUUCUGGGCCAGGCCAGCAUCAGUUUUGGCGGCCGGAUAAAGGCCUUGGGAAUGUGGCUUUCUCUUCGGGGGAAGUGUUAUAGCCCAGGGUGUAAUACGGCCAGCCGGGACUGAGGUCCGCGCUUCGGCUAGGAUGCUGGCGUAAUGGUUGUAAGCGGCCCGUCUUGAAACACGGACCAAGGAGUCUAACAUCUAUGCGAGUGUUAGGGUGUCAAACCCUUACGCGUAAUGAAAGUGAACGGAGGUGGGAACCCGCAAGGGUGCACCAUCGACCGAUCCUGAUGUCUUCGGAUGGAUUUGAGUAAGAGCAUAGCUGUUGGGACCCGAAAGAUGGUGAACUAUGCCUGAAUAGGGUGAAGCCAGAGGAAACUCUGGUGGAGGCUCGCAGCGGUUCUGACGUGCAAAUCGAUCGUCAAAUUUGGGUAUAGGGGCGAAAGACUAAUCGAACC
rnacentral:rRNA from 2 species